GCAGUCGAGCGGAACGAGUUAUCUGAACCUUCGGGGAACGAUAACGGCGUCGAGCGGCGGACGGGUGAGUAAUGCCUAGGAAAUUGCCCUGAUGUGGGGGAUAACCAUUGGAAACGAUGGCUAAUACCGCAUGAUGCCUACGGGCCAAAGAGGGGGACCUUCGGGCCUCUCGCGUCAGGAUAUGCCUAGGUGGGAUUAGCUAGUUGGUGAGGUAAGGGCUCACCAAGGCGACGAUCCCUAGCUGGUCUGAGAGGAUGAUCAGCCACACUGGAACUGAGACACGGUCCAGACUCCUACGGGAGGCAGCAGUGGGGAAUAUUGCACAAUGGGCGCAAGCCUGAUGCAGCCAUGCCGCGUGUGUGAAGAAGGCCUUCGGGUUGUAAAGCACUUUCAGUCGUGAGGAAGGUAGUGUAGUUAAUAGCUGCAUUAUUUGACGUUAGCGACAGAAGAAGCACCGGCUAACUCCGUGCCAGCAGCCGCGGUAAUACGGAGGGUGCGAGCGUUAAUCGGAAUUACUGGGCGUAAAGCGCAUGCAGGUGGUUUGUUAAGUCAGAUGUGAAAGCCCGGGGCUCAACCUCGGAAUAGCAUUUGAAACUGGCAGACUAGAGUACUGUAGAGGGGGGUAGAAUUUCAGGUGUAGCGGUGAAAUGCGUAGAGAUCUGAAGGAAUACCGGUGGCGAAGGCGGCCCCCUGGACAGAUACUGACACUCAGAUGCGA
rnacentral:rRNA from 1 species